GAUGAACGCUGGCGGCGUGCUUAACACAUGCAAGUCGAACGGAGAUGUUUCGCUGACGCGACUUCGGUCAAAUCUUGAGGCAUCUUAGUGGCGGACGGGUGAGUAACGCGUGGGAAACCUGCCCUAUGCAGGGGGAUAACAGUUAGAAAUGACUGCUAAUACCGCAUAAGCCCACGGCAUCGCAUGAUGCUGCGGGAAAAGAUUUAUCGGCAUAGGAUGGUCCCGCGUUGGAUUAGCCAGUUGGCGGGGUAACGGCCCACCAAAGCGACGAUCCAUAGCCGACCUGAGAGGGUGACCGGCCACAUUGGGACUGAGACACGGCCCAAACUCC
rnacentral:rRNA from 1 species